GAGUCGUUCACGCAGUAUCGUUCUAUACGCGAUCGCGACAAGUAUUGCAUAGAUAAAUACGCGGGCGAUCACAUUCUUUACGACAUUUUUCAACAGUUCAUGGCGUUUUAAUCAAUUUAACAUUAACUCUAUUCGUGUACAUUCGUAUCAUAAGAUUUUAAGUAUCGUUGAUGCUAUUUUUUAAUAUUUCAAUCAUUGACGAAACAUGUUUCAAGAACGAAUUCGACUGUCCAGCAACAUUUUGAUAUCUCCACUCGUAAUCAACAACAUUUUGAUAUCUCUCAAUUGUAUUAAGGAAAAUUUAGGAUAUAUAUUUUCGAAUAUAUAUGUUUCAGAUUCUUCAUGUUUAUUAUUUUUAUUGUUAUGUAUUUUUAAUCACUUUCAUGUUAUGACGCAUACAUUUAUUAGCAAUGGAAAACUUGGCAUUGUCACGGCAAGUAGUGCAUAAAUUAGACUAUGCAAUUUUCGAACGUCGAGUACCGAUAAUGCAGUAUAUGACGGUAAUGUUUGCGUUGUUUUUUUGCCAAAAUAUACAUAAUAAAGUGUGCGUUAAUUUUCGGGAGUGCGCGAUUUUCGGGAGUGCCGUACGAAGUGACGUGCAAUUAUAAUAACGUUUGUCCGCAAAGUAUCAGUGUCCAUCAACAAAAAGGAUAUAACGAGAAGAGAAGGAGGCCCAGGGAGGCAUCGGGCAUUGGCAACACAACCCGAAGAUUACAUCAUGUAUCUCAACUUUGUUGUUGUGCAUCGUAAUGGAUGGUGCGCUUCCUGAUGUUCGCCAUAAUUGUACGACGGUGGACGGGGUCGAUACGGCCGUAAACCCGAUCAGCUGGAAGGAGAUUCG